CUGCUGCCUCCCGUAGGAGUUUGGGCCGUGUCUCAGUCCCAAUGUGGCCGUCCACCUCUCAGGCCGGCUACUGAUCGUCGCUUUGGUAGGCCGUUACCCUGCCAACUGGCUAAUCAGACGCGGGUCCAUCAUAUACCACCGGAGUUUUUCACACUGAGUCAUGCGACUCCGUGCGCUUAUGCGGUUUUAGCAGCAAUUUCUCGCUGUUAUCCCCCUGUAUAUGGCAGGUUACCCACGCGUUACUCACCCGUCCCG
rnacentral:rRNA from 1 species